CCAAGUCUGGAGAUAGACAAGGACCUUUCCAAGGUUAAAGCGGGCUUGGGAACAAAGCUGGUAGGAACACCAGUUUCAGUUUCCAGGGUACAGUUGGUGGCCUGCUGGGCGGUAGCAGCUGUUCUGAGCCACCAGCUGUUGCCUGACUGGAAAUGUCCCACCCUCCUCCAUCUCCCCCCUGGGCAGUCCUCUUGUGACACCAAGACAGUCCUCCAGGAAGCUGCAGUGAGGUCUUCUCAAAACAGAGAACUAGACAACAGCACUGUGGAAUUAUGGGACACAUUGGACAGCUCAGCAGGAUUGGAGAAACAAAUCUGCCAAAUGGGGCUUGAAGAGUGGCUCUGGCCCCUGACUCUCCCAGAGCACAUGCCUCAGUGUUGCCCUCCUAACACACUUGACUGGGGUGGCUAAGUCGCUGACUCUGAGGCCCAAGCUGAUCGUCAUCCCGAUUGGGACAGCAGAGCUGAGUCGCUACCGGAUUCCCCAGGCGGGCGAGCCUUCUAUCCCGGAUUACCGUCCAACUGCAGUUCCGAUCUUGGCCACCCGGGGUGCACGUCUGCAGAGAGGCAAUUCACAUCCCCGCAGGGGACUAGAUCCCUGAGCAAGCAUCCAGAAACCCUGAAGAGUUUGCCUCCUCCCCAGCCCUAACCCCAGCCAGAUGGUCUCCACCUCAGCUCACUCCUCCCAUCCUCCAGAGGGAGCUCAAACGAGCAGUUCUGAGUUCUGCUUAAGGGUAUGAAGUCGCGUUUGUCAGUGGUGUGUUCUGAGCCUAGCAGCCAG